rnacentral:other from 1 species
GGUUCUCUGCGGUGUGCGAGGCGGGUCAAUAGUCCCGAUCCAACACGAGAGCCCGGGGAGCCCGGCUCCGGACGCGGAUAGCUUGGCCGCAGCUGCGCCGAGCGAUGAAGCGUCUGGGAGGGCACCCACCUACGAGAGUAGGGUUCGGGGGCUAUGAUCCGCACGGCACCGCGGAGAGCAC